CAAUAGCGUAUACUAAUGUUGUUGCAGUUAAAAAGCUCGUAGUUGAACUUCUGGUAGGAGUGUCCCGGCCUUUUUGUUUUUACAAAUUGUAUGCUGUGUGACAUCUCUGGCCAUCCUUCUUCUUUGUUUAAAGAAGAUCUUUCACUGUAAAAAAAUUAGGGUGUUCAAAGCAAAAGUUUCUUUGGAAUAUAUUAGUAUGGGAUGGUAAGAUAGGCUCUAGAUGCUAUUUUGUUGGUUUGCACAUUUAGAGAAUGAUUAACAGGGACAGUUGGGGGUAUUCGUAUUUACAUGUCAGAGGUGAAAUUCUUGGAUUUUGGAAAGACGAACUACUGCGAAAGCAUUUACCAAGGAUGUUUUCAUUAA
rnacentral:rRNA from 1 species